UUCCCACACCGGGAAUUGAACCCGGGCCUCCUGGGUGAGAGCCAGGUAUCCUAACCACUAGCCCAGGUGGGA
rnacentral:tRNA from 13 species